rnacentral:rRNA from 1 species
GACGAGCGCUGGCGGCGUGCCUAACACAUGCAAGUUGAGCGACGAACCAGGGCUUGCCCUGGGGCAAAGCAGCGAACGGGUGAGUAACACGUGGGUAACCUGCCCCGAUGACCGGGACAACCCGAGGAAACUCGGGCUAAUACCGGAUGUGUCCCCUGGACCCAAGUCCGGUGGGCAAAGGAAGCUUCGGCCUCCGCAUUGGGAGGGGCCCGCGGCCCAUUAGCUUGUUGGUGAGGUAAGAGCUCACCAAGGCAACGAUGGGUAGCUGGUCUGAGAGGACGAUCAGCCACACUGGGACUGAGACACGGCCCAGACUCCUACGGGAGGCAGCAGUGGGGAAUCUUGCGCAAUGCGCGAAAGCGUGACGCAGCAACGCCGCGUGGGGGAAGAAGGCCUUCGGGUUGUAAACCCCUUUUAGGAGGGACGAAGGUGCGACGGUGAAUAGCCGCUCGCACUGACGGUACCUCCAGAAGAAGCCCCGGCUAACUACGUGCCAGCCGCCGCGGUAA